AAGACUCCAGCCCACUGGAUUCUCCAGGUGACGGAAGCCCCAGCCAGAACCACACAGAACUGAAACACCACCCAGCUGAGCGCAGUCAACCCAAGGAAUUCAAGAGAUAGUAAAUGGUUGCUAUGCUUUAAGCCACCAAGUUUGGGGCGAGUUUGUUACACAGCAAUGGAUAGCUGAAACUACGGGUGUGACAGGAAAAGAGGAGUCGAGACUGGCUUUAAGAUCUUUGGCCUGUGUGGCUGAUGAGUGGUGUGUAGGUCCAUGCCAGGGAUCCGAACCUGCAAACCCCAGGCCACUGAAGCAGAGCACAAGAACUUAACCACUCCGCCACUGGGCCGGCCCCAGAGGACUUCUCGUUGAUAACGAGGACUUUCAAAUAAGAAGUGAGGACAACAGUCGAGACUGAAGAAUGGAGAAAGAGUGGGAAGCCCUUUUGAUGGAGUGAAGUGACUGAGGAAGUGAGUGAGCGUAACCAAGCCUGGCACAAAGACAUCAGAAAGAUGUUCCUAAGAAGAAAAGGAGAGAACACCUGAGAAAGAAGGAAAAUACCAUGUGACACUGAAACUGAGAUAAGCACGUGAGGGAAGCGGGCCCUGGAGAUUUUAGUUUGUUGCUCUCUCCUUCUCUUCUCUCUGCAGCUGGGUAAGGCAUCCUAGAAGUCAGCUGGCAUCAGCUUAGGAUGAGCAGGGGGUGCAGCUGGUAACACUCGGGGCAGACAAUUGGGGCAGUGACCGUGAAGAGGGUAGAAGGGGCUCCAUUGCCCAGGAAAACAACGUAGUCAGAACUUCCAACCAACAGGACGUGGGAGACGGAGAGGGCAGGGGCCAGCGGCCAUCCACCACCAGAUACACAGGUGUUCGUCCUGCCUCAACGCCAGUGUCCCAGAAAGACCCAGCAACUCUGGAGCCCAUGUGGACUCAGGCAGUUCCUAACACGCCGGCCCGGACUUUCCGUCUCUACUUUGUGACUCACUCCCCUGUCCCCACUCUUACCCCCCUGGGCUUGCACCCCCUACUACAGACGGGGACUUAGACUUCCAGUUGUAUUUUCCAGGCAACCUGGGGCUGAGACAGAAGCUGAGUCAAGAAAGUCCCUUUGGGCAUCAUCCCCCGCUGUCCUCGCCGACCCCCAGGACCUGUCCUGAAGCUCCGAUGAGGACCCACAGCGUCCGCCUGCGCAAGGAGACGCACGAUGCCCUUCUGUCUCCUGCCACGAUGCCUCCAGAGUCU
rnacentral:lncRNA from 1 species